CAAAACCCUAAUGUGUGUAUAUAUAACCCCUCGUAAACAUCACAUCCGCCGCAAAACUUCUCUUAUAUCUGAUAAAACAAUCUAUAUCAUAUAUACUCAACACAUGUUACUUGUUAUUCAUGAUAUCAUUUGUAAAUUCUUGCCUCAAAUUUGAGACUGUACUUCAAUUGUGGAUGAAAUUUUUUACUAUAAGAUCAACCCUGGCGAGAUGGUUUCUUAUUCAUUGGGCAGAUUUUUCACAUAGAAGUACAGAACUUUGUAAUACUUGUAUUAUUGUUGGAUCCAUUUGUAAAGCAAUGAAGAUGAUGCUCCAGUUCAACACUAUCAUUGAUAAAGUUCACAUGGAAGAAGGCAAGAUAUGCCAUUUCUGGAUGGCUCAUAUAUAUUUGAGCAUAUUUUCUUUUGUGAACUUCUGUAUGACCCUUAGAGCACAGAGCCGUCAAGUAGAGCCCUUAAACAGUUGCCAGUUCAUAUCAAGCUAACUGGAUCACAGGAGAAAGUGUUGAAUAAUGCUACAACUCAUAGGACAUCAAGGAGCUACAGAAUCUUAAUAAUUUGUCGAAGAACUGAGCAGGGUUAUGAUUUUGAUUCUUGCCGCUAUGCAUUCAGUUUUAAUAUUGGAUAAAAUUCAAGACUUCCUUUUCUGAUCUAUGUUUUGUGUUAUUUUUUGUGGUAGUCCAUAAAAAUAUCCAAAA